rnacentral:rRNA from 1 species
GACGAACGCUGGCGGCGUGCCUAAUACAUGCAAGUUGAGCGCUGAAGGUUGGUACUUGUACCAACUGGAUGAGCAGCGAACGGGUGAAUAACGCGUGGGGAAUCUGCCUUUGAGCGGGGGACAACAUUUGGAAACGAAUGCUAAUACCGCAUAAAAACUUUAAACACAAGUUUUAAGUUUGAAAGAUGCAAUUGCAUCACUCAAAGAUGAUCCCGCGUUGUAUUAGCUAGUUGGUGAGGUAAAGGCUCACCAAGGCGAUGAUACAUAGCCGACCUGAGAGGGUGAUCGGCCACAUUGGGACUGAGACACGGCCCAAACUCCUACGGGAGGCAGCAGUAGGGAAUCUUCGGCAAUGGACGAAAGUCUGACCGAGCAACGCCGCGUGAGUGAAGAAGGUUUUCGGAUCGUAAAACUCUGUUGGUAGAGAAGAACGCUGGUGAGAGUGGAAAGCUCAUCAAGUGACGGUAACUACCCAGAAAGGGACGGCUAACUACGUG